AAGUCGUAACAAGGUUUCCGUAGGUGAACCUGCGGAAGGAUCAUUAACGAGUUUUUAAUUGUUAGAUUAGAGUUGAGCUGGUUAACUUUGUUAACAUCAGUGCUCGCUUUAGUUGAUACAAGUCCACUCAUCAUUUAACACUUGUGAACUUAUUCAUUAUAAACAUUAUCAUUUGUUAUUGGAACGUUUGAAUUAUAACAAGUUAAUACAACUUUCAACAACGGAUCUCUUGGUUCUC
rnacentral:misc_RNA from 1 species